AUACGGAGGGUGCGAGCGUUAAUCGGAAUUACUGGGCGUAAAGGGUGCGUAGGCGGCUUGAUAAGUCGGAUGUGAAAGCCCCGGGCUUAACCUGGGAAUUGCAUUCGAUACUGUCAGGCUAGAGUAUGUCAGAGGUUGGCGGAAUUCCUAGUGUAGCGGUGAAAUGCGUAGAUAUCAGGAGGAACACCAGUGGCGAAGGCGGCUAACUGGGGCAAUACUGACGCUGAGGCGCGAAAGCGUGGGUAGAAAACAGGAUUAGAAACCCUAGUAGUCC
rnacentral:rRNA from 1 species